rfam:Trichobilharzia regenti genome assembly, scaffold: TRE_scaffold0034698
AUCCAGUGGCUGACGAGUCCCAAAUAGGACGAAAUGUGCUUUAUCCUGGAU